GAUGAAGAACGCAGCGAAAUGCGAUACGUAGUGUGAAUUGCAGAAUUCAGUGAAUCAUCGAAUCUUUGAACGCACAUUGCACCUCUCGGUAUUCCGGGAGGUAUGCCUGUUCGAGCGUCAUUUGUACCCUCAAGCUCUGCUUGGUGUUGGGUGUUUGUUCCGCCUCUGUGUGUGAGCUCGCCUCAAAACAAUUGGCAGCCGGCGUACUUGUUUCGGAGCGCAGCACAUUUUGCGAUCCAGAUCAACGUACAGCGGCAUCCAAGAAGCCUUAUUUAACGCUCUUGACCUCGGAUCAGGUAGGGAUACCCGCUGAACUUAAGCAUAUCAAUAAGCGGAGGA
rnacentral:misc_RNA from 1 species